UGGGGAAUAUUGGGCAAUGGGCGAAAGCCUGACCCAGCAACGCCGCGUGAAGGAUGAAGGUUUUCGGAUUGUAAACUUCUUUGACCAAGGACGAUAAUGACGGUACUUGGAAAACAAGCCACGGCUAACUACGUGCCAGCAGCCGCGGUAAUACGUAGGUGGCGAGCGUUGUCCGGAUUUACUGGGUGUAAAGGGCGUGUAGGCGGGAGAUCAAGUCAGAUGUGAAAUACCGCAGCUUAACUGCGGGGCUGCAUUUGAAACUGAACUUCUUGAGUGAUGGAGAGGCAAGCGGAAUUCCUAGUGUAGCGGUGAAAUGCGUAGAUAUUAGGAGGAACACCAGUGGCGAAGGCGGCUUGCUGGACAUUAACUGACGCUGAGGCGCGAAAGCGUGGGGAGCAAACA
rnacentral:rRNA from 1 species